AUUGAACGCUAGCGGGAUGCUUUACACAUGCAAGUCGAACGAGUGGCGGAAGGGUGAGUAAUAUAUCGGAACGUGCCCAGUAGCGGGGGAUAACUAAUCGAAAGAGUGGCUAAUAAAGCAUACUAUUGGAGCGGCCGAUAUCGGAUUAGAUAGUUGGUGGGGUAAAGGCUCACCAAGGCAACGAUCCGUAGCUGGUGUUAGAGGACGACCAGCCACACUGGGACGUAGACACGGCCCAGACUCCUACGGGAGGCAGCAGUGGGGAAUUUUGGACAAUGGGGGAAACCCUGAUCCAGCCAUCCCGCGUGUAUGAGAAGGCCUUCGGGUUGUAAAGUACUUUCAGUCGGGAGGCGUUACCGACAGAAGAAGCACCGGCUAACUCCGUGCCAGCAGCCGCGGUAAUUC
rnacentral:rRNA from 1 species